UACAGAGGGUGCGAGCGUUAAUCGGAAUUACUGGGCGUAAAGCGCGCGUAGGCGGCUUCGCAAGUCGGAUGUGAAAUCCCCGGGCUUAACCUGGGAACUGCAUUCGAGACUGCGUUGCUAGAGUAUGGGAGAGGGAAGUGGAAUUUCCGGUGUAGCGGUGAAAUGCGUAGAUAUCAGGAGGAACACCGAUGGCGAAGGCAGGUCUCUGGGCAUUAACUGACGCUGAGGAACGAAAGCAUGGGGAGCGAACAGG
rnacentral:rRNA from 1 species